rnacentral:rRNA from 1 species
GACGAACGCUGGCGGCGUGCCUAAUACAUGCAAGUCGAACGCUUCUUUCCUCCCGAGUGCUUGCACUCCAUUGGAAAGAGGAGUGGCGGACGGGUGAGUAACACGUGGGUAACCUACCCAUCAGAGGGGGAUAACACUUGGAAACAGGUGCUAAUACCGCAUAACAGUUUAUGCCGCAUGGCAUAAGAGUGAAAGGCGCUUUCGGGUGUCGUUGAUGGAUGGACCCGCGGUGCAUUAGCUAGUUGGUGAGGUAACGGCUCACCAAGGCCACGAUGCAUAGCCGACCGGAGAGGGUGAUCGGCCACACUGGGACUGAGACACGGCCCAGACUCCUACGGGAGGCAGCAGUAGGGAAUCUUCGGCAAAGGACGAAAGUCUGACCGAGCAACGCCGCGUGAGUGAAGAAGGUGUUCGGAGCGUAAAACUCUGUUGUUAGAGAAGAACAAGGACGUUAGUAACUGAACGUCGCCUGACGGUAUCUAACCAGAAAGCCACGGCUAACUACGUG